CAGCUACUCUGCUGUGACCCACUCCUUGGCUCCUUACCUCAGGCUCAGGAGACCUUGGGGCUGGAAAACAAUGGGUUGUUUCUGUCCUCUUUCUCUGAUUUUCUUCACCCUUUCACAUGGCCCCAAAUGAAUAUUAAUAAUCACAUUUUCUUACUCAGAGAUGUCCAGAUAUGGAAAGAGAAUGUCUUUACUUUGGUUUAAUCAGAUACAAGGACAAGUAGACUUGUGGAUACUGCCCACUUUUGUAAGUGAUCUGAACAGCAAGCUUUGAAGAGCUGAUAGACUGGCAUUUCCUCAAAAGGAUCUCUACAUACAGUGUGAAAAAAAUAAGAGAAGAAAUGGAAGCCUAGAGGCAAGAUGACAGAAGAAACUGUAGUGUUAAUCCAGAUAAGACAUUGAAGAGCUAAACCAGGAUUUUGGUAAGACAGAUGGAGAGAUGUGAAUGGAUCUGAAUGCUACCAAGAAGGUCAAAUUCAACGGUGCUUACAGGCAUACCUUGGAAACAUUGCAGAUUUAGUUCUAGAACACCACAGUAAAGCAAAUAUUGCAAGAAAAUGAAUCACAUGAAUUUUGGGUUUCCCAGCGCACAUAAAAGUUAUGUUUACACUAUACUAUAGUCUAAGUGUGUAAUAGCAUUAUGUAUUUUAAAAGUACAUGCCUUAAUUAAAAAAUAUUUUAUUGCUAAAAA